rnacentral:sRNA from 12 species
GACCUAACCCCGAAGAACUCGUUUUUCGGAUAUGGUCGAAAACCCCCGCUAGAGAUUAAAAGACUCCCAGUCAGAGUCGCUCUAGCGGGUCGUGUCUCGAAAGGGAUACGGGUGGUCGCCGAAAGGCACCAUC